rnacentral:lncRNA from 1 species
AAAGAAAUUCCCUUUAAGGUGAAGAAGACUAACGAAAUUUCCAUAAGGCUUUUUGAGGCCUAGUGAAGCAAGAAGCCAAGUGUAGGCAACGUAGAGGAAGACUUUGACCAUAUACUCAUGUUAUGUGGUUCUCAUCCUAUUCCAAAAGAAAAAAAUAAAUAAAUAAAUAAAAAUAAAACAAAGAAAGCUCAAUAAGAACUAAACACUUGUCCACAUUCUGAGACACCCCAAGAAAAUUUCCUUUAAGAUGAAGAAGACUAAUGGUAUUUCCAUUAGGUUUUUGAGGCCUAGUGAAGCAAGAAGCCAAGUGUAGGCAACGUAGAGGAAGACUUUGACCAUAUACUCAUGUUAUGUAGUUCUCAUCCUAUUCCCAAAGAAGAAAAAAAAAGAUAACAAGAAAAAUAAAACAAAGAAAGUUCAAUGAGAACUAAACACUUAUCCACAUUCUGAGACACCCCAAGGAAAAUUCCUUUCAAGUAAAGAAGACUAAUGAAAUUUCCAUAAGGUUUUUUUAGGCCUAGUGAAGCAAGAAGCCAAGUGUAGGCAACGUAGAGGAAGACUUUUGACCAUAAACUCAUGUUGUAUGGUUCUCAUACUAUUCCAAAAGAAAAAAGGAUAAAAAGAAAAAUAAAACAAAGAAAGCUCAAUGAGAACUAAAUACUUGUUCCACAAUAGACAACUACUUAAGCUUGGGAAUCUCUCCAACCCACUCCUCAAGUUAGGAAAUAUUUUCUGCAUUAGUGAUUAUUUGGACUUUAUAAUACAAUGCUAACUAGUUGUUUGGGUUUUAAUAAUAUCAUUAAAAUGGAUUUGAAUCAUCUUCUUUGAUUUCCUCUCUGCCAUGAUCUACUUGACUUUUCUUAUAAGCAUGCAAUCUCAUUUAGUUUUCAUCCAAAAGCCAAAAAAUUGACACAUCAAACGUAGAUUAUUUUUUAAUAAAUAAAAAAUUCCUUCACACCCAAAAUAAACAUUACGAAACGUUAAAACAGUUUGUUACUCUCUUCCCAUCGCCUCCCCCUUUCAUCUUCAAAAAUCGAACCAAACCAUACUAGAAGAACCAACAACUCAAAGCUAUGGCAUGUUCUUCAAAUUUCACACGACAACCUGUUUAAAGAAUACAAGUGUCUUAGUUUACUCAAUUCAAUUUUACUUCAAUAUCUUGCAAUUUC